rnacentral:lncRNA from 1 species
CGCGCUCUGUGCGCACCGCCCCAGCCCGGGGAGGAGCGGGAGCCGGGAGGGAGGAGGGCUCGGGGUGCUGGUUACGUAAAUUAUACUAGCCCAGUGAGAGGCCUCCAGGCUGGGGCUACGGGAGGAGGAGGAGGGCCCGCGCAAGGAGGAGGGGCUGAGAGGGAGCGGGCCGGGGUGGGAGGGGGGCGGGGGCCGGGGGCGAAGUGACCAGGCGGUGGCAGCGGCUCUGCCGAGGUGACAAUGUGUUAGGAGACCUCGCUCGGUCUCCUGCGCCUCCUCGGCCUCGGCGCCCGCUCGCGAGGAGCCCUCCAGCCCGCCGCUGCGCUAUGAGGGCGCCUCUCCGGGGCUGGCCGAGGCCGGAGCCGGCUCGCUCUUCUCCCGGGGAAGUGUGAGCAGAGAGGCGCGGGCGGGAAGCGGGGCUGCGCGCGGCGCUCGCGGGCCGGCGCGUGUUCCAGGUGAGCACGGGAUCGGUGCGCCCCACACUCCUCGCAGGCGGCCGGCACCUGCCGGGCUGGGUCGGAGGCUGAAUUCCGUGCGUGGACCGCCGUUCCUUCUUCGCGGGAUCCCUGGCCACGACAGCAGAUGCAUUUUGUAGGAGUAUUCUGAGGAUGAAUGUUUGCAAAUCAUUCUGAAAUUGCCAAGUGCCACAUACAGUAAGUAAUAUGUAUUUUUAUUUUUCCACUCAAUUGCAGUCAUGCUGAAUAAAUUUGGCACACAGCCAUAAAAGAAUACAUUCCUAUUUACAGUUCUUGAUAUUUGUGAAUACUGAGGAAAAAUGUAUGUAAAAGAGAAAAAUUUGAGCUCUUUGCUAGUCUCAAUUAAGUUGC